AUGACUAUAAGGAACCAACGAUUCUCUCUUCUUAAACAACCUAUAUACUCCACACUUAACCAGCAUUUGAUAGAUUAUCCAACCCCGAGCAAUCUUAGUUAUUGGUGGGGGUUCGGUUCGUUAGCAGGUAUUUGUUUAGUCAUUCAGAUAGUGACUGGCAUUUUUUUAGCUAUGCAUCACACACCUCAUGUGGAUCUAGCUUUCAACGGCGUAGAACACAUUAUGAGAGAUGUUGAAGGGGGCUGGUUGCUCCGUUAUAUGCAUGCUAAUGGGGCAAGUAUGUUUCUCAUUGUGGUUCACCUUCAUAUUUUUCGUGAUCUAUAUCAUGCGAGUUAUAGCAGUCCUAGGGAAUUUGUUCGGUGUCUCGGAGUUGUCAUAUUCCUAUUAAUGAUUGUGACAGCUUUUAUAGGAUACGUACCACCUUGGGGUCAGAUGAGCUUUUGGGGAGCAACAGUAAUUACAAGCUUAGCUAGCGCCAUACCAGUAGUAGGAGAUACCAUAGUGACUUGGCUUUGGGGUGGUUUCUCCGUGGACAAUGCCACCUUAAAUCGUUUUUUUAGUCUCCAUCAUUUACUCCCCCUUAUUUUAGUAGGCGCCAGUCUUCUUCAUCUGGCUGCAUUGCAUCAAUAUGGAUCAAAUAAUCCACUGGGUGUACAUUCUGAGAUGGAUAAAAUUGCUUCUUACCCUUAUUUUUAUGUAAAGGAUCUUGUAGGCCGGGUAGCUUCUGCUAUCUUUUUUUCCAUUUGGAUUUUUUUUGCUCCUAAUGUUUUGGGGCAUCCCGACAAUUAUAUACCUGCUAAUCCGAUGCCCACCCCGCCUCAUAUUGUGCCGGAAUGGUAUUUCCUACCGAUCCAUGCCAUUCUUCGCAGAAUACCUGACAAAGCGGGAGAAAUGUAUGUGCGUAGUUCAAGUUUUCGACCGAUUCACCAAGGAAUAUUUUGGUUGCUUUUGGCGGAUUGCUUACUACUAGGUUGGAUCGGAUGUCAACCUGUGGAGGCACCAAUUGUUACUAUUGGACAAAUUCCUUCUGUCUUUUUCUUCUUGUUCUUUGCCAUAACGCCCAUCCGGGACGAGUUGGAAGAGGAAUUCCAAAAUAUGACACGGAUGAGACUCAUCGCACCGGAUCCUUAG
rnacentral:rRNA from 1 species